GAAUCGAGACAUUGCCCAGGUUGGUUUUCUAUCGAGAGGGACUGAGGGGAAAGGCCGGCCAGCCAACAUCAAAAGAUUGUCCGGAUGAGUGACAGGAAUGUUUCACAGCCUCUCACCAGUUAUGACCGAUUGGUGCUGUUCGGUCCAUUUCGCCCACCGUUCCAUAAAAUACGAUCAGCGCCAAAAAUCGCCAAGCCCAUCAUCAGCUCGGUGAUGGUCGAUAAUCUGUUGGCCGUUAAUUCCGCGUCUCCAGAGGCUAGGCGCCGAGAGAAAACUGAGCCCGCUCGAAAAACAAUAUCCUGAUGAUGAUGAUCCUUUUCGCAAUCUUCUUUUCAGGUACAUUUCAGGCGCACCACCACCUGUAUCUUUUUGAGAUCUAAAAACCAGUAGUAGUAGUAGUGAUGAUGUAUAUACCCACCGGUCCGGUCCGGGCCGCGCAGUUUAGAUUUUCUUACAGUUUCAAACUGAUGUACAUUCACAUAAGUUUGAGGUAUUGCCACAUCUUCUCGAGAAGGUCGUCGAAAUUCCAUUUGUGAUGGGCAGAGAUGGGUACACAAUGGGGAA